rnacentral:rRNA from 1 species
UACGUAGGGGGCAAGCGUUAUCCGGAUUUACUGGGUGUAAAGGGAGCGUAGACGGCAGCGCAAGUCUGGAGUGAAAUCCCAUGGCUUAACCAUGGAACUGCUUUGGAAACUGUGCAGCUGGAGUGCAGGAGGGGCAACUGGAAUUCCUAGUGUAGCGGUGGAAUGCGUAGAUAUUAGGAGGAACACCAGUGGCGAAGGCGAGUUGCUGGACUGUAACUGACACUGAGGCACGAAAGCGUGGGGAGCAAACAGG